ensembl:snRNA U6 U6 spliceosomal RNA
GUGCUUGUUUCGGUAGCACAUAUACUAAUAUUAGAAUGACACAAAGAAGAUUAGCAUGGCCCCUGUGCAAAGAUGACACACAAAUUUGUGAAGCGUUCUAUACAAAC